GAUCCUGGCUCAGGACGAACGCUGGCGGCGCGCCUAACACAUGCAAGUCGAACGGAGAUGAUAAAAGCUUGCUUUGAUCAUCUUAGUGGCGGACGGGUGAGUAACACGUGAGCAACCUGCCUUUCAGAGGGGGAUAACGUUUGGAAACGAACGCUAAUACCGCAUAACGUAUACGGAUGGCAUCAACUGUAUACCAAAGGAGCAAUCCGCUGAAAGAUGGGCUCGCGUCCGAUUAG
rnacentral:rRNA from 1 species